AUAAUUUUUUUAAAAGAGGAAAAAAAAGGAUCGUCUGCUUUGUACAAAUGUACGUGUAGAUAAAUAUCGUUUCGAUUCUCCCAGACAAGUUACCGAUGGGUAUGUUUCUCAUCCACCCACCCCCCUCCUCCCCGUGUCCGGAUCCCUCCGUUGGAGAAUUAACGACAGCUCCGACUCUCGUUCCCGGCAUCCACUGGCGACGCUUCACAAUCCCGUGACGUAACGUCUCCGAACAGACUGGAAUGUUCUAGAAAAACCUGGGGCUCUGUGCAAAUUCAAUCCACACUUUUUGCACAAAACUGAUAAGAAAACUGAUUUUACAUCAAGGAUAAGCUCUCAAUCUAUACAUGAAGACCAACUCUCAAAAAACAGUCAAAUCGGAUUCGAAACAUCCAGGAAAGAUCAAUUCUGGGCGAUGAGAGAAAGGUCACCCUGACCCACAAAUCUGAGAAGCUGCUCCUACAAUCACAUUUUCUUAUUCAUUCAUGGUAUUUGGGUAUACCUGGCUAGUUCAGCAUUUAUUGUCCAUUGCUAAAUUCCCUCAAGGUGGUGGUCUCUGAUCUUCUUGAAAUGUAACGGUCUGUUUGGUUUAGGUGGACUCACAUUGCCAUUAGGCAGGGAGUUCCAGUGACCUAGAAACACUAACUAUGGAAAUAUAUUUCCAGAUCAGAACACGAAGUGGCUUAGAGAGGAACUUAUUUGUGGCGGUGUUCUCACAUGUCUGUUGAUUUGUCCUUCUCGGUGGUUUAGGGUUAGGAUUGUAAUAUCAAAUCAUGCUCCUCAGCUAACAGAUACUUCCACCAAUAUAAACUGUUUGAUUAAAGAUACCAUGCAGCCAAUAAGACCAGAUCUUCCUUGCUACGUGCCAAUAGGAAUGUGGGGGCUACUCCCAAUGCUACACUCUCCCAAAGCCUAGGAUCACCCAGGAAUCCAGGCCACAGGUGAGGCUUGCAGGAGGAAAAUAGUGGGGUGGGGGAGGUUCAGCAAUGGGCAGCUUUCAAUAUUAGGCAUAGAGUUAUUUGAACAAUAUCACCAAAAGCUGACCCACUGUCUGCCCAAGAAUCCACAAGUAAUGCCAGCAAGUUUGCAUAUUGAUCUUUAAACACGAAGAUGCCUUCACAGGCUACUAGAUGAAUAACAGUGGGUGAUAAUACAUAGCUCUAGCUGGGAAUUAGUGUCCUCUUAAAGGCCUCAAUUUGAGACAGGGCAGGAGAAUUUCCACCUUUCACAAACCCAAUCAGGACAGUGCCAGAAUGGCGGAGGAGUCCUCAUCUUUCCAAUGGCUGGGGGAACACGACAGAUGGAACAGCAUUAAUUAGCUGAACUGGCUCGAUACUUCGCACUUGGCUUAGCAUAACCUCUUCAGUGUAGGGUUCAAUCCCCCUUCCAGCUAUUAUAAUAUUACCUAAAAUUAGAAAAUUCAAUAGA